rnacentral:rRNA from 1 species
AUUGAACGCUGGCGGCAGGCUUAACACAUGCAAGUCGAACGAGUGGCGGACGGGUGAGUAAUGUAUGGGAAACUGCCUCAUGGAGGGGGAUAACUACUGGAAACGGUAGCUUAUACCGAAUACCAUACGAGGAGCCCAGAAGGGAUUAGCUAGUUGGUGGGGUAACGGCUCACAAAGGCGACGAUCCCUAGCUGGUUUGAGAGGAGGACCAGCCACACUGGAACUGAGACACGGUCCAGACGCCUACGGGCGGCAGCAGUGGGGAAUUUUGGACAAUGAGGGAAAGCCGGAUGCAGCCAUGCCGCGGGUAUGUGGAAGGCCUUCGGUUUGUAAAGUCCUUUCAGCGGGGAGGCGUUACCCGCAGAAAAAGCACCGGCUAACUCCGUGCCAGCAGCCGCGGUAAUUC